UCUAAUAUUAGCUUAGCGGCAGUGGCAGCAGCCAUUUGGAGAGAGAAAGAGAGCAAGAGCAGACGACGAAGCCGCCGCUAUGUUCUUCUCUAUUCCACUUCCCCGCGAUGAAAAAAUGGGGUCGAUUCGUAUAUAGUGAUGAAUCCAAUGAUGUAUUUCGGCGGCUGUAACUAUAAAUUUCAGAAUCACAGUGCGUAUCCGAGUUGGGUUGAGAGAGACGGAAGAAGAAGACUUCCCAGAUUGGUUAAUAUGUUUGCUGCGCAUGUUUGAUUAUAAUGGACCAGAUCUGAUAUGAUCACUUCAUAAUCAUAGCAUCACUAUAGUUAAAGCUACUGCAUAGCAAGCAAUAAUAACUGCUCCACCAUAAUUUGCAGAAUGGAACCAACCAGGAGCUGAUAAUGAAUCAAGGGGGACUAAGUUUGUUAUCUAUGAGAGGAUAUCAGGAUGGUACUAAAAAUGGCCAGAAGGCUAACUAACCUAGGCGAUCUCCAUUUUCCACAUCCUCAUUGGCUUUCCCUUCAACUCUUCAAGUAGCCAUGUCUCUGGAAUCAAUAUGGACCAGGGCACUAGCGGAUGCAGGAAAUUCUGAGUACAAUAGAGCAUGGUGGAAGAUUGACAUAAUUGCAGGAAUCUUCAACUCCACAAGAAUGAUUUAUUUUGUAAUUUUUUGUUUUCAAAGAAGUAAUUGAUAUCAUUAGAGCAUCAAACUGCUAUUCAUAUCUUUGUUCUUCUCAUUGUUUUUGAAGAAGUAAUUGAAAGUUUCAGUUUCAGUUUCACUUGAUGUAAUUGAUCAUUAGACUUCAGACUACCUUCUUUAGUUUCAAGGGACUUCUAUUUAAUUGCA